ACGAAAAGACCACGCGCAACCGCAGUCGUCGCUUCAGUCGCUCGGGGAUUACUUGUUACGCUCCGUUUUUGUUACGGCCACUGUUAUUGUUAUUCGCUUUUACCUUUCAGGUAGCUUAAAAAGUGAAACGACCCGUUAAGUUGACCACUCCAUGGUCCCACAAGUGAGCCGAAGGAGACGUUGUUGUACGAACACUUAUACAUUCAACAGUGUACAAAAGAAUGGCAGUGUUGACAAUACUAUGCCAUAGAAAUCGCUUAACGCUGGAUUCGCGUACAAUUUAUGUACAUAAGAAACCCAGCCCAUUUCAUCGCAAAGCUAAACUUGGAGAUUUUAUUAUUUGCGAAUGCUACCAGAGUAAUUUCUUUGGAGCGUGGAUAAAAGCUUUUUAAAAAUAAUUUGGGGGGUAUUAAAGAAAUCGCAGAGCGCCCAUUCAGCGUAAGUUUCUUACAUACAUAAUUUUGUUGAUCAAUAUAAAUUUUAAACGACAAAGCUCUGAGUUGAAUUCUGUGGCACCCCUGUAUAAUCCAAAAUGCUAUACACAGCUACAGAAAUACAUAAACUCCUAUGCGCCUUUUUAAGAAUAAAACAUUUAUUUACAUAUAAAGUGACUGGACACUGAUCGUUGAUUUCUCUCUAAUGUUGCCUAAAAUGCUAUUUUAUGCUCCCUUCCCAAGAUUUCAUCCGUUGGAAACGGUUGAACAAUGGCCGCGUUCAGCAAAACAUCGGGAUAACCGAUUACUGAUCUAUCAGUAACCAGUUAUCAUGUUGUUCUGCUGAACGCAGAGGAUACAUAUCGACGUUGAAAAGUUCUAGAGUAGUUUAGAGUGUAGAGUUUUUGACAAUUAAGCCUAGUACUCACAUCGACGAAAACAGCGAGCUAGCCAUAGGAGAGACCGAGAGGCAAAUAGGCGGCUAACGCUUUUCGUAGGGUCUGUUUUUCAUCGCGGUACUUAGAUGAGCUAAGGAAAUACCAGAAAAAAUACCGAAUUUAGGGAAUGAAUUUCGAUUAACGCCGUUAGCCACCGCGCAAGGAAAUAUGAAAUUGAUCUUUGGCUGUGUUGUUUGUCCUGGAGCGUCCUGUGAGAAGAGAAAUAAGUAUGACUAAUCCCAGCUGUGGAAGGGGCAUUACCAAAACAGGACAAAACCGCAGAAGAGUGAAAGUGCUGGAGGUAAUCCAACUGAGAAGCCCAUUGGAAAGGAGCAUGCCGAGUGGGAUUUCGCUUUCUAUUUAGACAUUCUGCAAAGAAAAACCACCAAUAAUACGAUCUCUGAGGAUCUCUCCAAUGGGGAAUCGCUGAACCCCACCACCACCAGCUACUUGGCAGCUAAACCCUAUUCACACAGAUGUUCACGCUUCAGCGACGUUUUCUUCCAUUAGAAAUACAACUAGCUUCAGUGCAAAAUGGGCAAAUCGUUUCAGCAUUUCAGUGCUUUUAUUCAGAAUUUUUUCGAAGUUAAAUAAUUUUUUUACUUGGUGUUUCAGUAUUUUUUUGAGAAGGCAGUACUUUUUUUUUAAGGAAAUGACUUACCUCCAGCUUAUGUCCUUCUUGACUAGACCUGGCACCUGUUGCACCAAACGUACAUUAUUUGUCUUAAGAAAUAGCCAUUUAAAGGCACAUCCUCCUCCCAAAAUUGGUAAAAAUUGUUGCUUAAAAAAAUGAUAUAGUCAAAGAACCGUAUACAAGGAAGUUGUUAAUGUCCAAACGAUUCUAACUUGUUAUAAUUCUCGUGGCGUCACUUUUGGCCCACAAACGUCCCAAUUCAAUAUUCACCACGCUGGUCAGAGUAGAAGUCUCAUCCUUUAUCAAUUUCCUAAUAGCAGUGAAAUAGUCAUUUGACGCCACAUGCUAGCGCUCAAAUUGAAUUUUUUAUUUCGUUGACUUUCUUUUUUUAGAGCAACUGAAUUUGCAUGUCCUUUCCCUUCGGAAACGGUUUGUUUAUGCCAAUCAGCUGUUCGCUUCAAUGAUUCUCUAUGUGAACAAGAAGCCGCUUUAUAUUGCAACAGCGAUAAAUGGAUGCAAGCGCGACCGUUUCAUAAUGAAAAUGGGCCAAAAAACGACAACUUAAAUAAAGUUUAACGAAAAAAAAAACAA